UACGGAGGGUGCAAGCGUUAUCCGGAUUCACUGGGUUUAAAGGGUGCGUAGGAGGGCAGGUAAGUCAGUGGUGAAAUCUCCGAGCUUAACUUGGAAACUGCCGUUGAUACUAUCUGUCUUGAAUAUUGUGGAGGUGAGCGGAAUAUGUCAUGUAGCGGUGAAAUGCUUAGAUAUGACAUAGAACACCAAUUGCGAAGGCAGCUUACUACACAGUAAUUGACGCUGAGGCACGAAAGCGUGGGGAUCAAACAGG
rnacentral:rRNA from 1 species